rnacentral:piRNA from 1 species
UUCCCAUGCCUCAGCAUGUCUACCUCCUUCG